AGGAGCUCGCCCUGCACCUCCAGGCCUUCCUCCAGACCUGGAGAAACAUCGGUCAGAUCAGACCAAACAGAAAAACAUCUCCAGCAGAGUCACGGUAACGAAGCAGUGCCCCACGUCUUCUGGGAGCUGUUCGUAGUUCUCCAGUUCCUUCAGGAAGAUACUGAGGAACACAGAGAUGUCCUGGAUGUUUCCGAACACGACGUCGUCCUUGUUGGUGAGUCCAGGUGGGAUUUCCUCCGAGCCGCUGGUCAUCUCCCACAGGUACG